rnacentral:tRNA from 1 species
GGUGCUAUGGCACAAUGGUUAGCGCAUUCGGCUGUUAACCGAAAGGUUGUAAGUUCGACCCUUACUAGCACCG